CCUACGGGAGGCUGCAGUGAGGAAUCUUGGUCAAUGGGCGCAAGCCUGAACCAGCCACGUCGCGUGAAGGAUGACUGCCCUACGGGUUGUAAACUUCUUUUAUAAAGAAAUAAAGUGAGGCACGUGUGCCUUUUUGUAUGUACUUUAUGCAUAAGGAUCGGCUAACUCCGUGCCAGCAGCCGCGGUCAUACGGAGGAUCCGAGCGUUAUCCGGAUUUAUUUGGUUUAAAGGUCGCGUAGAUGGGUUGUUAAGUCAGUUGUGAAAGGGUGCGGCUCAAACGUAAGAUUGCAAUUGAUACUGGCAGUCUUGAGUACAGUUGAGGUAGGCGGAAUUCGUGGUGUAGCGGUGAAAUGCUUAGAUAUCACGAAGAACUCCGAUUGCGAAGGCAGCUUACUAAACUGCCACUGACAUUGAUGCUCGAAAGUGUGGGUAUCAAACAGGAUUAGAUACCCGGGUAGUC
rnacentral:rRNA from 1 species